CGCUCUUUGCCGCCGGGUAAAGAGAAAAGCGCCAGGCUUUCCAUCGUUAGGCCAUUGAAGAUGGAAAGAUCUGGCGCUAUUUUUAA
rnacentral:ncRNA from 1 species